rnacentral:rRNA from 1 species
CAGUCGCCGCGGGAAUACGUAGGGUGCAAGCGUUAAUCGGAAUUACUGGGCGUAAAGCGUGCGCAGGCGGUUAUAUAAGUCAGAUGUGAAAUCCCCGGGCUCAACCUGGGAACUGCAUUUGAGACUGUAUGGCUAGAGUGUGUCAGAGGGGGGUAGAAUUCCACGUGUAGCAGUGAAAUGCGUAGAUAUGUGGAGGAAUACCGAUGGCGAAGGCGGCCCCCUGGGAUAACACUGACGCUCAUGCACGAAAGCGUGGGUAGCAAACAGGAUUAGAUACCCCCGUAGUCCCUGUCUCUUAUAC